rnacentral:rRNA from 1 species
UACGUAGGGGGCAAGCGUUGUCCGGAUUUAUUGGGCGUAAAGAGCGUGUAGGCGGCCAGACAGGUCAGCUGUGAAAACUCGAGGCUCAACCUCGAGACGUCGGUUGAAACCGUCUGGCUAGAGUCCGGAAGAGGAGAGUGGAAUUCCCGGUGUAGCGGUGAAAUGCGCAGAUAUCAGGAAGAACACCAAUGGCGAAGGCAGCUCUCUGGGACGGUACUGACGCUGAGACGCGAAAGCGUGGGGAGCGAACAGG